ensembl:miRNA gga-mir-3540 gga-mir-3540
AGGAAAUGGUGGAAGAACAAGGCCUGCCCGCGAGGUAAGGGCAGGGCCUGCUUCCUCCACCU